rnacentral:rRNA from 1 species
CAUGAACGCUGGCGGCAUGCCUAAUACAUGCAAGUCGAACGAGAGGAAGGAAAGCUUGCUUUCCUGAAUCUAGUGGCGAACGGGUGAGUAACACGUAGGUAACCUGCCCAUGUGCCCGGGAUAACUUCUGGAAACGGAUGCUAAAACCGGAUAGGUAGCAGACAAGCAUUUGACUGCUAUUAAAGUGGCCUUGGCCAUGAACAUGGCUGGACCUGCGGUGCAUUAGCUAGUUGGUGAGGUAACGGCCCACCAAGGCGACGAUGCAUAGCCGGCCUGAGAGGGCGGACGGCCACAUUGGGACUGAGACACGGCCCAAACUCCUACGGGAGGCAGCAGUAGGGAAUUUUCGUCAAUGGGGGGAACCCUGAACGAGCAAUGCCGCGUGAGUGAGGAAGGUCUUCGGAUCGUAAAGCUCUGUUGUAAGAGAAAAACGGCACUCAUAGGGAAUGAUGAGUGAGUGAUGGUAUCUUACCAGAAAGUCACGGCUAACUACGUGCCAGCAGCCGCGGUAACAC